rnacentral:tRNA from 1 species
UCCCUUGUAGCUCAGCUGGUAAAGAAUCUGCCUGCAAUGCAGGAGACCUGGGUUCUAUCCCUGGUUUGGGAA